rnacentral:rRNA from 1 species
GACGAACGCUGGCGGCGUGCUUAACACAUGCAAGUCGAACGGAAAGGCCCUGCUUGCAGGGUGCUCGAGUGGCGAACGGGUGAGUAACACGUGGGUGAUCUGCCCCUUACUUUGGGAUAAGCCUGGGAAACUGGGUCUAAUACUGGAUAGGACCAUGCUGUAGGUGGUGUGGUGGAAAGAUUAGUUUCGGUAAGGGAUGAGCUCGCGGCCUAUCAGCUUGUUGGUGGGGUAAUGGCCUACCAAGGCGUCGACGGGUAGCCGGCCUGAGAGGGUGGACGGCAACAUUGGGACUGAGAUACGGCCCAGACUCCUACGGGAGGCAGCAGUGGGGAAUAUUGCACAAUGGGCGCAAGCCUGAUGCAGCGACGCCGCGUGGGGGGUGACGGCCUUCGGGUUGUAAACUCCUUUCAGCCAUGACGAAGCCCUUGUGGUGACGGUAGUGGUAGAAGAAGCACCGGCUAACUACGUG